UUAAUGGCUCUACAGAUGAGAAAAUACUUUUUCUGCAGAACAGGUUCAGCACAGGCAGUGGCAGUGCAAACAUCCCCUUCCCUUCUCCACUAAUAUCUCUUAAAUCAGACCUAGAGGAGUAUUUCCAGGAAAGAGAUUGCAGUUCAGUCUCCAUGUACAUUCAAUCAUCUUCCAAG
ensembl:misc_RNA